rnacentral:rRNA from 1 species
UACGUAGGGUGCAAGCGUUGUCCGGAAUUAUUGGGCGUAAAGAGCUCGUAGGCGGUCUGUCGCGUCGGCUGUGAAAUCCCGGAGCUCAACUCCGGGUCUGCAGUCGAUACGGGCAGACUGGAGUUCGGCAGGGGAGACUGGAAUUCCUGGUGUAGCGGUGAAAUGCGCAGAUAUCAGGAGGAACACCGGUGGCGAAGGCGGGUCUCUGGGCUGACACUGACGCUCAUGCACGAAAGCGUGGGGAGCAAACAGG